UACGGGGGGAGCAAGCGUUGUUCGGAUUUACUGGGCGUAAAGAGCGCGCAGGCGGUCGUUCAAGUCGCGUGUGAAAGCCCCCGGCUCAACUGGGGAGGGUCACGCGAUACUGAUCGACUCGAAGGCAGGAGAGGGUAGUGGAAUUCCCGGUGUAGUGGUGAAAUGCGUAGAUAUCGGGAGGAACACCAGUGGCGAAGGCGGCUCUCUAGUACGGUACUGACGCUGAGACGCGAAAGCUAGGGGAGCAAACGGGG
rnacentral:rRNA from 1 species